UACGUAGGCAGCAAGCGUUGUUCGGAAUUACUGGGCGUAAAGCGCACGUAGGCGGCUUUCUAAGUCGGGGGUGAAAUCCUGGAGCUCAACUCCAGAACUGCCUUCGAUACUGGAGAGCUCGAGUCCGGGAGAGGUGAGUGGAACUGCGAGUGUAGAGGUGAAAUUCGUAGAUAUUCGCAAGAACACCAGUGGCGAAGGCGGCUCACUGGCCCGGUACUGACGCUGAGGUGCGAAAGCGUGGGGAGCAAACAGG
rnacentral:rRNA from 1 species